rnacentral:rRNA from 1 species
AGGGUUCGAUUCUGGCUCAGGAUGAACGCUGGCGGCGUGCUUAACACAUGCAAGUCGAACGGGAUCCAUCAGGCUUUGCUUGGUGGUGAGAGUGGCGAACGGGUGAGUAAUGCGUGACCGACCUGCCCCAUACACCGGAAUAGCUCCUGGAAACGGGUGGUAAUGCCGGAUGCUCCGACUCCUCGCAUGGGGUGUCGGGAAAGAUUUCAUCGGUAUGGGAUGGGGUCGCGUCCUAUCAGGUAGUCGGCGGGGUAACGGCCCACCGAGCCUACGACGGGUAGCCGGCCUGAGAGGGCGACCGGCCACAUUGGGACUGAGAUACGGCCCAGACUCCUACGGGAGGCAGCAGUGGGGAAUAUUGCACAAUGGGCGCAAGCCUGAUGCAGCGACGCCGCGUGCGGGAUGACGGCCUUCGGGUUGUAAACCGCUUUUGAUCGGGAGCAAGCCUUCGGGUGAGUGUACCUUUCGAAUAAGCACCGGCUAACUACGUGCCAGCAGCCGCGGUAAUACGUAGGGUGCAAGCGUUAUCCGGAAUUAUUGGGCGUAAAGGGCUCGUAGGCGGUUCGUCGCGUCCGGUGUGAAAGUCCAUCGCUUAACGGUGGAUCUGCGCCGGGUACGGGCGGGCUGGAGUGCGGUAGGGGAGACUGGAAUUCCCGGUGUAACGGUGGAAUGUGUAGAUAUCGGGAAGAACACCAAUGGCGAAGGCAGGUCUCUGGGCCGUUACUGACGCUGAGGAGCGAAAGCGUGGGGAGCGAACAGGAUUAGAUACCCUGGUAGUCCACGCCGUAAACGGUGGAUGCUGGAUGUGGGGCCCGUUCCACGGGUUCCGUGUCGGAGCUAACGCGUUAAGCAUCCCGCCUGGGGAGUACGGCCGCAAGGCUAAAACUCAAAGAAAUUGACGGGGGCCCGCACAAGCGGCGGAGCAUGCGGAUUAAUUCGAUGCAACGCGAAGAACCUUACCUGGGCUUGACAUGUUCCCGACGACGCCAGAGAUGGCGUUUCCCUUCGGGGCGGGUUCACAGGUGGUGCAUGGUCGUCGUCAGCUCGUGUCGUGAGAUGUUGGGUUAAGUCCCGCAACGAGCGCAACCCUCGCCCUGUGUUGCCAGCACGUCAUGGUGGGAACUCACGGGGGACCGCCGGGGUCAACUCGGAGGAAGGUGGGGAUGACGUCAGAUCAUCAUGCCCCUUACGUCCAGGGCUUCACGCAUGCUACAAUGGCCGGUACAACGGGAUGCGACACGGCGACGUGGAGCGGAUCCCUGAAAACCGGUCUCAGUUCGGAUUGGAGUCUGCAACCCGACUCCAUGAAGGCGGAGUCGCUAGUAAUCGCGGAUCAGCAACGCCGCGGUGAAUGCGUUCCCGGGCCUUGUACACACCGCCCGUCAAGUCAUGAAAGUGGGUAGCACCCGAAGCCGGUGGCCUAACCCUUUGUGGAUGGAGCCGUCUAAGGUGAGACUCGUGAUUGGGACUAAGUCGUAACAAGGUAGCCGUACCGGAAGGUGCGGCUG